rnacentral:rRNA from 1 species
GACGAACGCUGGCGGCGUGCUUAACACAUGCAAGUCGAACGGACAGGCCCUGCUUUUGUGGGGUUCUCGUGUGGCGAACGGGUGUGUAACACGCGAGUAACCUGCCCCUGUCUUUCGGAUAACUUCAGGAAACUGGGGCUCUUACCGGGUAGGAGCUCCUGCUGCACGGGGGUGGUUGGAAAGAUUCGGCGGUUCGGGAUGGACUCGCGGCUUAUCAGCUGGUUUGUGGGGUAGGUGCUUUCCAAGGCUUUGAGGGGUAGCCGGCCUGAGAGGGUGACCGGCCACAUUGGGACUGAGAGACGGCCCAGACUCCUACGGGAGGCAGCAGUGGGGAAUAUUGCACAAUGGGCGGAAGCCUGAUGCAGCAACGCCGCGUGCGGGAUGACGGCCUUCGGGUUGUAAACCGCUUUCGCCUGUGACGAAGCGUGAGUGACGGUAAUGGGUAAAGAAGCACCGGCUAACUACGUG